rnacentral:lncRNA from 1 species
CCACGGUCCACCGACCACCUGAGUCCUGAGGCACCGUCACCACCGUGGCACCAUCCUCCGGCUCCAACUUCCGGGAGGCAAGAACUUAAGGUUUGUUUGCCAAAUGCCAAAGGCCCCAAGUCCAUCGUCCACACUCUAGGGCCUUAGAGUUAGAGUUUAGACAUGUUAAAUAGCUUUGGGGAGACAUCAGACAUGUUAGCAUGAUUAUUUCUG